AUGGACCGGGAUUUGCAAGUCCAAGCUUUGAAAAAGAUGCUUAAUCAUCAAUGUGUAUGCUUGCUUCCGCGGGUGGUGGUGGUUAAUUUUUCAUUGCUCAGAGCUAUACCAGCAGCAUUGGACAUCAUGGAGAACACAUGGAUCUUGCCGGUACUGGUAGUGGAUGGAGCAGUGGCACUUUUCUCCUAUUCUCCUAUACUAACCCAUGCAUAUAAAUAUUUGAGGUUGCUAUUUACUUUUGUACAAAUCUGGGAUUACGAGUUCAUAAAGUUAAAAAGUAAGUUGGUUCAGUUUAGUUGUUAA
rnacentral:rRNA from 1 species